CACCGCCCGUCACACCACGAGAGUUUGUAACACCCGAAGCCGGUGGAGUAACCUUUUAGGAGCUAGCCGUCGAAGGUGGGACAAAUGAUUGGGGUGAAGUCGUAACAAGGUAGCCGUAUCGGAAGGUGCGGCUGGAUCACCUCCUUUCUAAGGA
rnacentral:rRNA from 1 species